rnacentral:tRNA from 2 species
GCCCCGGUAGCUCAGUGGAUAGAGCGAAUGCCUCCUAAGCGUUAGGUCGCAGGUUCGAUUCCUGCCCGGGGCACCA